rnacentral:misc_RNA from 1 species
GAUGAAGAACGUAGCGAAAUGCGAUAAGUAGUGUGAAUUGCAGAAUUCCGUGAAUCAUCGAAUCUUUGAACGCACAUUGCGCCUUCUGGUAUUCCGGAAGGCAUGCCUGUUCGAGAGUCAUUAACAACCGUUUCGAUCCCUUACUUUCAGAAAUUACAAAGAGGAAAAGGGUUUGGUUAUGGUGGAGGAGGGAAAGGGAGCGUUUAGCCUGUAAAAAAAGAGGCUGUGUUCCGCCUCCCCCCCAAAAUUGUACAGGCGGUCGUGUGCGCCCACGCAUCGAGGUGUUGUAAAAGCUGCCACGUCACUUUUCACCUGUGCAGUGCGAGAUUGGCCAGCCGGUUUAAAAACCCCUCCAAACAAUCAAAGGUUGACCUCGGAUCAGGUAGGGAUACCCGCUGAACUUAAGCAUAUCAAUAAGCGGAGGA